UCAGGAUGCUGUGGGAGAACAGCUCAGCUGCCCAGCACCCAACAAGGAGCAGCUCUGUGAACAAGAACAGGAUCCCAAGGGCAAGCAGAACUUCCUGGUUGCAGGCCCUGCCUUCUUUCGACACCAUGGGAAGAUCUCUCUUUCCCAUGAAGAAUUCCUAGGAACUGACAGUGCUGUUGAGCACUUUGAUCACAAGGCACAUGCUGCAAGAAUGCUUCAGAUUUCUCACAGCCUGAAGCACAUGCAAUAAAGGGCACCUGAAUGAAGUUCUGCA
rnacentral:lncRNA from 1 species